GAUGAAGAACGUAGUGAAAUGCGAUACGUAAUGUGAAUUGCAGAAUUCAGUGAAUCAUCGAAUCUUUGAACGCAUAUUGCGCUCUCUGGUAUUCCGGAGAGCAUGCUUGUUUGAGUAUCAGUAAACACCUCAACUUCCAUAUCUUUUUUGAAAUGGGAGUUGGACUUGAGUGAUCCCAACGCUUUUCCUCACCGAAAAGUGGCGGGUUACUUGAAAUGCAGGUGCAGCUGGACUUUUCUCUGAGCUAUAAGCAUAUCUAUUUAGUCUGCCUAAAAAACAGAUUAUUACCUUUGCUGCAGCUAACAUAAAGGAGAUUAGUUCUUGUGCUGACUGCUGCAGGAUUCACAAAGACGGCUUCGGCCGACUUUGUAAACUCGAUCUCAAAUCAAGUAAGACUACCCGCUGAACUUAAGCAUAUCAAUAAGCGGAGGA
rnacentral:misc_RNA from 1 species